rnacentral:rRNA from 1 species
UAAGGAGUGUGUAACAACUCACCAACCGAAUAGAAUUAGCCUGAAAAUGGAUGGCGCUUAAACGUACUACUUAUACUUUACCAUUAAGAUAAAUGCUAAAUCUUAAUGAGUAGGAGGGCGUAUGGAUAAUUUAGAAGAUUGACAGUGAUGUCGAUUGGAAUUAUCUUUAGUGCAGAUCUUGGUGGUAGUAGCAAAUAUUCAAUAGAGAACAUUGAAGACUGAAGUGGAGAAAGGUUUCACAUGAACAACACUUGGAUGUGAGUUAGUCGAUCCUAAACGGUGGGGUUAACUCCAAAUACAUAGAUACUUGUAUCUUGUACCGUGAAAGGGAAACAGGUUAAUAUUCCUGUACUAUAUCAAGGAGGUAAAGUGGUAAACACAAAUGAACUCAAAUACAUCAGUAGAAUAACCAGGAAGAGUUCUCUUUUCUUUUUUAACGACUUCUCCGCCAAGGGGUGUAUAAUGACCAUGGAAUC